CUUUCACCACUGUAGGGAAAGCAGCAGAAAAGUGCCGGGAGAGUCUUGACACAGCAGGAUUUAAUGGGAAGGAAGAAAACAGGGGAAGAGGAGUCAUCAUUUGGAAGAUGCCAAGCAGGCCUAGAAUGUUGCAAAGCCCAAGACUGCUCACCUCUUUUCCAGAUAUUCCACCCUCAGGGAGAUGGAGCACAACUUCCUACUCUUUAAGUGUCGGCUGCUCACUGUGACUUCCUUCCAAAGAGGACAGUAAGAGCAUCAGUGAGUGUUGCCUGGGACAACUUCUCCCGAGUUAGGAAAUCAACUUGAUGAUGCCAAAGAGGAAAGAACAAAGGCCAGUGGACUGGGAAUCAGAAAACUACUCCAGUCUCUAAUGCGCCACGUGACCAGGUAGAGGAGAAAAAGAUUUUUGUGCGGGCAUUCCAACUGGAUAUAAGCAUGACUGCAAAGGCCAAGCUGACACCAUCAGACCCUUUAUAGAACAGAGACACGAAGACAAUGCCACUAGGAUCUAAGUCCCAGCCCAGUCACUAGGAGAUGGACCUGUGUGGACUGCUACAGAAAGACUUCUCAGCUUCCUCACUCCCUCCUCGGGCUGUCUCCCAAAUGACUGUGGAUGCACUGGAACAGACUCUUCUGUGCGACUCGGAGGCAGAUGACUCUUGUGACGCAGAUUCAAGAAAGGAGCAGAAAAGAUGGAGUAGACGCACUUUUUGGUAUUUCUCCCACUAAUUACAAUGAAAAACUCUGGACAUUACAUAUGAAACAAACAUAAGAUGGCUCUGAAAGGUUGAGAGAUGAAGGCUGAGUGGCUAAGGACCUUGGGACCCAAGGAAUGACACUGUGGUGAGUUUUCUUUUCACUUCAUAUUUCCCAG
rnacentral:lncRNA from 1 species